rnacentral:rRNA from 1 species
UACGAAGGGUGCAAGCGUUAGUCGGAAUUACUGGGCGUAAAGCGUGCGUAGGCGGUUUCUUAAGUCCGUUGUGAAAGCCCUGGGCUUAACCUGGGAACUGCAUUUGUGACUGCAUGGCUAGAGUUUGGCAGAGGGGGGUAGAAUUCCACGUGUAGCAGUGAAAUGCGUAGAUAUGUGGAGGAAUACCGAUGGCGAAGGCAGCCCCCUGGGUCAAGACUGACGCUCAUGCACGAAAGCGUGGGGAGCAAACAGG